UGGGGAAUUUUGGACAAUGGGCGCAAGCCUGAUCCAGCCAUGCCGCGUGCGGGAGGAAGGCCUUCGGGUUGUAAACCGCUUUUGUCAGGGAAGAAAUCUUCUGAGUUAAUACCUCGGGAGGAUGACGGUACCUGAAGAAUAAGCACCGGCUAACUACGUGCCAGCAGCCGCGGUAAUACGUAGGGUGCAAGCGUUAAUCGGAAUUACUGGGCGUAAAGCGUGCGCAGGCGGUUUUGUAAGACAGAGGUGAAAUCCCCGGGCUCAACCUGGGAACUGCCUUUGUGACUGCAAGGCUUGAGUGCGGCAGAGGGGGGAUGGAAUUCCGCGUGUAGCAGUGAAAUGCGUAGAUAUGCGGAGGAACACCGAUGGCGAAGGCAAUCCCCUGGGCCUGCACUGACGCUCAUGCACGAAAGCGUGGGGAGCAAACAGGAUUAGAUACCCUGGUAGUCCACGCCCUAAACGAUGUCAACUGGUUGUUGGGAAGGUUCCUCCUCAGUAACGUAGCUAACGCGUGAAGUUGACCGCCUGGGGAGUACGGCCGCAAGGUUGAAACUUAAAUGAA
rnacentral:rRNA from 1 species